rnacentral:rRNA from 1 species
UGGCAUGGAUUAGGCAUGCAAGUCGAACGGAACCAGUGGCAAUAUUGGUUUAGUGGCGAAAGGGUGAGGAACACGUGAAGAACCUGCCUUCGGGUUUGGGAUAGCCCCUGGAAACGGGGAGUAAUACCAGAUAUGAUUACUGAACGAUUGUUUGGUGUAUCAAAGCAGUAAUGCGCCUGUAGAUGGCUUCGCGUCGGAUUAGCUAGUUGGCGGGGUAACGGCCCACCAAGGCGACGAUCGGUAGGUGGUCUGAGAGGAUGGUCACCCACACUGGGACUGAGACACUGCCCAGACUCCUACGGGAGGCUGCAGUCGAGAAUCUUCCGCAAUGGGCGAAAGCCUGACGGAGCAAUGCCGCGUGAGGGAUGAAGGCCUUCGGGUUGUAAACCUCUGUCGCCCGGGACGAAUCAAUGACGGUACCGGGAGAGGAAGCUACGGCUAACUACGUGCCAGCAGCCGCGGUAAUACGUAGGUAGCAAGCGUUAUUCGGAUUUACUGGGCGUAAAGGGUCCGCAGGAGGCCUGCCAAGUCUGAUGUGAAAGCCCACGGCUCAACUGUGGAACUGCAUCGGAAACUGGCGGGCUUGAGUGCACGAGGGGAAAGCGGAAUUCCAGGUGUAGCGGUGGAAUGCGUAGAUAUCUGGAGGAACACCGAUGGCGAAGGCGGCUUUCUGGCGUGCAACUGACUCUCAUGGACGAAAGUGUGGGUAGCAAACAGGAUUAGAUACCCUGGUAGUCCACACUGUAAACGGUGCAUAUUCGAUGCGGGAGGAACUUAGGUCCCUUCCGUGUCUUAGCUAACGCGCUAAAUAUGCCGCCUGGGGACUACGGUCGCAAGACUAAAACUCAAAGGAAUUGACGGGGGCUCACACAAGCGGUGGA